GAUGAAGAACGUAGCGAAAUGCGAUACGUAAUGUGAAUUGCAGAAUUCAGUGAAUCAUCGAAUCUUUGAACGCAUAUUGCGCUCUCUGGUAUUCCGGAGAGCAUGCUUGUUUGAGUAUCAGUAAACACCUCAACUUCCAUAUCUUUUUUGAAAUGGGAGUUGGACUUGAGUGAUCCCAACGCUUUUCCUCACCGAAAAGUGGCGGGUUACUUGAAAUGCAGGUGCAGCUGGACUUUUCUCUGAGCUAUAAGCAUAUCUAUUUAGUCUGCCUAAAAAACAGAUUAUUACCUUUGCUGCAGCUAACAUAAAGGAGAUUAGUUCUUGUGCUGACUGAUGCAGGAUUCACAAAGACAGGCUUCGGCCGACUUUGUAAACUCGAUCUCAAAUCAAGUAAGACUACCCGCUGAACUUAAGCAUAUCAAACGGAGGA
rnacentral:misc_RNA from 1 species